UUGAAAACCAGGGAUUAGAUACCCUGUUACACUUUAUUUAAAUUAUUAAAUACCUGGGUAGUAAUCAGUUAAUAUCUUUAAACUCAAAGGAUUUGGCGGUAAUUUAGUCUAUUUAGAGGAACCUGUCCUAUAAUCGAUAUUCCACGAAAAAUCUUACUUUAUUUUGUAGACACAGUUUGUAUACCGUCAUUAUUAGAUAACUUUAAAAAAAUAGUUAGUUAUUAUAAUAGUAUUGCUAAUAUAUUAGAUCAAGGUGCAGCUUAUAGUAAAGGAGAGAUGGGUUACAAUAAUAUGAAUUUAUAAUGGAGUAAUAAAGUAAUUAUUUAUUAUUAAAGCGGAUUAAAAGUAAAAAAAUUUUAACAAGAUUUUUUGAGUGUAGCUCUAUAUUAUGUACAUACCG
rnacentral:rRNA from 1 species